rnacentral:rRNA from 1 species
CUAGUUGGUGAGGUAAUGGCUCACCAAGGCGACGAUCCGUAACUGGUCUGAGAGGAUGAUCAGUCACACUGGAACUGAGACACGGUCCAGACUCCUACGGGAGGCAGCAGUGGGGAAUAUUGGACAAUGGGCGAAAGCCUGAUCCAGCCAUGCCGCGUGUGUGAAGAAGGUCUUCGGAUUGUAAAGCACUUUAAGUUGGGAGGAAGGGCAUUAACCUAAUACGUUGGUGUCUUGACGUUACCGACAGAAUAAGCACCGGCUAACUCUGUGCCAGCAGCCGCGGUAAUACAGAGGGUGCAAGCGUUAAUCGGAAUUACUGGGCGUAAAGCGCGCGUAGGUGGUUUGUUAAGUUGGAUGUGAAAUCCCCGGGCUCAACCUGGGAACUGCAUUCAAAACUGACAAGCUAGAGUAUGGUAGAGGGUGGUGGAAUUUCCUGUGUAGCGGUGAAAUGCGUAGAUAUAGGAAGGAACACCAGUGGCGAAGGCGACCACCUGGACUGAUACUGACACUGAGGUGCGAAAGCGUGGGGAGCAAACAGGAUUAGAUAUCCUGGUAGUCCACGCCGUAAACGAUGUCAACUAGCCGUUGGGAGCCUUGAGCUCUUAGUGGCGCAGCUAACGCAUUAAGUUGACCGCCUGGGGAGUACGGCCGCAAGGUUAAAACUCAAAGGAAUUGACG